UACGUAGGUGGCAAGCGUUGUUCGGAAUUAUUGGGCGUAAAGGGCGCGUAGGCGGCCAACUAAGUCAGACGUGAAAUCCCUCGGCUUAACCGGGGAACUGCAUCUGAUACUGGAUGGCUUGAGUUCGGGAGAGGGAUGCGGAAUUCCAGGUGUAGCGGUGAAAUGCGUAGAUAUCUGGAGGAACACCGGUGGCGAAGGCGGCAUCCUGGACCGACACUGACGCUGAGGAGCGAAAGCCAGGGGAGCAAACGGG
rnacentral:rRNA from 1 species